UCCCCUGUCAGAGAAACAUCAUCUUACCUGCAGGGCUGCUGGAUGUCAAGGUCAAAACAGCAGAAGGAGGAAGGAGGUGAAAACAGCGGAAGCCCAGGGCGUGAUCGGUCACUGUUUCUUCUGAAGAAAGUGGAUAGAAGCGUGCAUGGGAAGUGUCAAGGUCACCAGUCCAUGCAAAAGUCAGGGGGAGUGAAGAUGGAGUAACAUCUCCCUCAGGAGGCUGGAGGCAGGGGGCAGCGCUUUGUAUCCUCACCUUCUUCUGGGUCCAGGCUGGGCUCUGGGCAGGCCCCAGUUUCCCUAGGAGAGGAUCUCCCUCUUUGCAUCUCAGAAAGGCAGCUUCAGCGUCAGAGAAAGUGAAUUCAUCUACAUGUUCAUAUAUACUCACUCGAACAAAGUCAACAAUACAGACUAUCUUUUAAAUCCAGGUGAAGGAAUCUGGGCGUCCCCUCUUACAGAUCAGAGUCCCAUUAGGAUACUAAACGUUGGGAAGAUCUGAAGGAAGAAGCAUGUUUAUUAAGUCCCACAUUUCCUGACUCUUUUGAUGAUUGAACCCCAAUUUCUACACAUAGUAUCUAGAAACAAGCCAUGCUACACGUUUUAGGAAAGGGUGGACUAGAAUUUUUGGGGGGGCAGCGGGGGCAAGGAAUAGUGACUUUAUUCGGAAAGCCAGAUGACCAAGAAGAUGGGGGCUAACGGUCCCGAGAACCAUCUUCCCCAAGUCAGAAUUCAGGUUCCUUUUAUAGUGAAAAGGGACAGGGGGUGGCUGGUUGUGCAAACUUCUUGGUGUCAGAAUCCUUUGCUUUUGCAGCUGUCCAUGUGGGUCAGGUCUUGGUGUCCCUGUAAACCUCCCACAAAACAAAACAUUAUUUUCUA